rnacentral:rRNA from 1 species
CAGUCGUACCGGCGGGUAAUCAGCCUUUCGGGUAUGAUUCUGUGGAGUGUGGGGAGCUAAACACCCUCAUGCCUGCAUAUUCGUGCUCUUGGGUGUACUUGUCUGUGUGGUAGGUUAACAUCAAUUUCGGUCGGCAUAAAAGGAUGAGAGGAAUGUGGCAGCUUGCUGUGUUAUAGCCUUUGUUGUACACGGUGCC